ensembl:snRNA U4 U4 spliceosomal RNA
AGCUUUGUGCAGUGGCAGUAUCGUAGCCAAUAAGGUUUAUCUGAGGUGCAGUUAUUGCUAAUUGAAAGAAGAGAUGUA